rnacentral:lncRNA from 1 species
AGAGGAAGAGAGAGAAAAAGCGGGCGUCGCGCGAGAAGAAGGAGGAGCCGGGUGCUGCGUCGUCAGCCGGUGGCGGCCGACUGCCGGGCGUGCGAUGCCGGCCGAAGGCGCUGCUGGCGUCGGCGAGCGCAGCAGCAGCGGCAAAAGCGGCAGCGUGAGGCGGCGGAAUCGCGCGACGUGUGGCAGCGGCUUCCGAGCGUCGUUCCGGCCGUUUCCGGUGGCCUUUCCGGCCGAUCUCGGUGGCGAUCAACUCCCCUUGGAGAGAGCUUCCUUUUGGCGGCAGCGGCGUCGGUUUUAGUGGCCGGAAGAGAGAGUUCCGGCGAAGUGGAGGCAGCUGGGUUUUUGGGCUUUUUCGGCGAGCUCCGGCGGAGGAUGGAUGAUCGGAGGACGUAUCCCGACUCUCCUCAGCUCAAGCUUCGCGAUGGCACUGGUUUCGUGGCGAUCGGGCUUCGUUGGCAAAUCGACGGUCGAGAUCAUCCGCAAAUCUCUCCGGAUGAUCGGGUGUCAGAUCGAAAAAUCAGAAGCGCGGAUCGUCAUCAGCGCGUCGUUGUGAGUC